rnacentral:rRNA from 1 species
AGUGAACGCUGGCGGUAGGCCUAACACAUGCAAGUCGAACGGACGCAUAAUAAGAUUGCGCUCCUACGGUUGGCGACUGGCGGGCGGGUGAGGAGUAGAUCGGAUUCUACUUUUACUGGGGGGACAACGUAGGGCAACAGACGCUAAUACCGCAUAUGACCUACGGGUGAAAGCAGGGGAUCUUGGGACUUUGCGUGACUGAAAGAGCCGGUGUCGGAUUAGCUAGUUGGCGGGGUAAGGGCCCACCAAGGCGACGAUACGUAGCUGAUCUGAGAGGAUGAUCAGCCACACUGGAACUGAGACACGGUCCAGACUCCUACGGGAGGCAGCAGUAGGGAAUCUUGGGCAAUGGGCGAAAGCCUGAUCCAGCAAUGCCGCGUGAGUGAAGAAGGCCUUCGGGUUGUAAAACCCUGUUAUUGGGGAAGAAAAACUGCGUGUGAAUCCACGGCUGUUCUGACGGUACCCAAACAAUAAGCACCGGCUAACUUCGUG